rnacentral:rRNA from 1 species
UACGUAGGUGGCAAGCGUUGUCCGGAAUUAUUGGGCGUAAAGAGCUCGUAGGUGGUUUGUUACGUCCGCUGUGAAAUCCUAGGGCUUAACCCUGGGCUUGCAGUGGAUACGGGCAGACUAGAGGUAGGUAGGGGAGAAUGGAAUUCCUGGUGUAGCGGUGAAAUGCGCAGAUAUCAGGAGGAACACCGGUGGCGAAGGCGGUUCUCUGGGCCUUACCUGACACUGAGGAGCGAAAGCGUGGGGAGCGAACAGG